GUUGUGGCUCAGGGGUAGAGCGCCUGCCUAGCACGCACGAGGCUCUGGGUUCAAUCCUCAGUACA
rnacentral:tRNA from 1 species